rnacentral:tRNA from 1 species
GGCGAAGGUGGCGGAAUUGGUAGACGCGCUAGCUUCAGGUGUUAGUGUCCUUACGGACGUGGGGGUUCAA